rnacentral:misc_RNA from 1 species
GUAAAAAUUAAAUUGUCCAUUGAUCUAACUAAGAGGGAGAAUAUAUUCACCUUCUAGCUAGCUAAAUAGACUAAUUGUACUAGCUAGAUGUAACAUUCAUAUUUUCAUUGUACAAGGACUCCCUAGCAAGUUCAUACAAAGGAAAAUCAUCCAUGAUGAGAAUCUCAUCUGGGAUCUCUAAAUUAUUUCCUGCAGUAGUAGUGCCAAUGUCUCUAGGCCCUCGGAAAUAGAAAUCCUCAAGCGAUGAAACCAUGUACUUCUGCUCCUGGUGCAGUGACUGUUGAUGAUCAUGGUGUUGCUGCUGCAGCGGUUGUUGUUCUUGUUGUUGCAUCUGAUACUGAUGAUAUUGAUGAGGAUAAUUAUUAUAACUGCCAAAAAAUGGACUCAUUAUUGUAGUUUCAAUAUUGUGAUUUUGUGCACUACCCAGUUGAAAAUUCAGGUUGAUUGGACCCAUUUGUCUACCGAAUGAUCUAGUUGUGCUAUUACAGCCAGUAAAUUGCUGCACCAAGGCUCUAAAAUUUUUAGUAUUGGCAUUGAGAAGGGUAGUGGGUGUCUUCUUAGACGCCCUAGACCUCCUUCUGAUUGUCUUCGACACACAAACCUUAGGGGUCAAGGGAGCAGUUGCUGUAGUUGAACAGGUAGGGCUUAACACUAAGCUAUGAUCAGAAGCACCAAUUGGUGUAGUUGUUGUGGUUGUAACUAUGGUGGCAUCUGAAAAUCCAAGGGAAGAAGAAUAAGGUUCAGCCUGCCCAUGAAUAGAUGUUUGCUCAUGGAAUGGGAACCACUCACUGGAGCUAGGAAUAGU